AAAUAAAUCAGUGAAACGAAAAGAAAAAAAAACAGUUUCAUCGAAUAAUUAAUUAGAAAUUAAUAUUCUCGUUUGCUGAUGAGGCCUCCAUUGAGCAAGCUACCAAUAUCAUGUCCAUCCUUGAUGUCUUUCGUUUGGAUUCGGGCCAAUAGACUCCAACAUUGUCCAUUCUCAUAGUUUUAACCUGACUUGGGGGCAAGGCCCCCCUACAAUUCAAACUUUUCUUUGGAAAAUUUCUUACAGCAAACUCCUCACUAACCUGGCUCGCAUGUUGGAGCGAACGUCGUAGAGAACCCAGAAGAUGAUCAAAGCCCAAAAGUAGGUCAAACACUUCGAUGAGUUAUACACCUCGUCCAUUACUACUUUCUUUAUCAAUAUUUUUUUCUUGUUUAGCCAAAUGUAAUUACAACUUGUAUUUUUUCUUGUAGUUUUCGAUCAUUAGUUUCAUUAUAUUUUCUUUGAUUGUAUUGUUCGUUGCAAAUUGGAAUGUUAGUCCACACUUCCAACUAACAGAGGAUAUUAGAUAUUGUUAAGGCUGCGGGGUUGGUUAUAGGUAAUUAUAAGUUGGUUAAUAUUGACUACAAUUUAGUCAUGAUUUGCUAGCUUAGUUAUGGUCACUAUAUAAAGUGUAUCAUAUAUUGAUUAUAAUUAGCUUUUCUCAUUGAAUCAAUUCCAAAUAAUUCAAUAUUUUUCUCA